AACGUAGGGGACAAGCGUUAUCCGGAUUUACUGGGCGUAAAGCGCCCGUAGGCGGCAAGCCAAGUUGGCUGUGAAAGCUCCCGGCUUAACUGGGAGAGGUCAGUCAAAACUGGUUAGCUAGAGGCUGAGAUAGGCGAGCGGAAUUCCCGGUGUAGUGGUGGAAUGCGUAGAGAUCGGGAGGAACACCAGUGGCGAAAGCGGCUCGCUGGUUCAGCCCUGACGCUGAGGGGCGAAAGCGUGGGGAGCGAACGGG
rnacentral:rRNA from 1 species